UGCUUUUCUAGACAUCCGUAAUCUGAGGUGUUUGAUUUGUUAUUACAGAUGGAUAGAGUCAGGACUUUACUGAGAAUCUAAAACUCUAGUUUUAUUGGAGCCUGAAAUACCAAUAAUCUAGAAUUCCAAUUUAUUGAUGUACAAAAUUUCCUGACAGUCUAGAGUUGUGUACGAGUGGAGGCAUAUUUUAAGUGUGACUCUAGAACCCAGGUUUUUUUUAACUGAAAUAAACUCUGUCUAGAACUCAUUUGGUUACUUAGAAUCUAGAACCCAGUGUGAUUAGAGUCAGGAUUUUACUGAGAAUCUGGCACUCUUGAUUGAUUGGACUCAUUAUCUAGAAGUCUAAAUAAUUAUUGGACUCGGAAUUUUAAUAAGAAUCUAGAAGUCAAUUUAGUUAUUAUUCCAUUUAAAGUUUCCUGAUGGUCUAGAGCUGUACAAGAUUGGCAUCACAGUUUAAGUGACACUCUAGAACUCUGUUUGUGUUCUAUUGAAAUAGACUCUGUCUAGAAUUCAAUCUGAUAAGAGUUGAACUCAGAAACUUACUGAGAAACUGUUGUUUGUCCAGUAAUUCUACAGUAGAUAUUUUUACGUUCUUCUGAAGAGUUCUUGAUACAGGUAACCAUUGAUGUAUUGUCCGUUAUAGGACGAUGAUAUUUUUAUGUUGUUGUGUGUUUUGUAGUUAAAGUAGCCAGCAGCAAUGGAGCAGGAAUCUGGACCGUGAGGCCGCCAGUUUUAGAUAUCAGUGAAGUAGUGGACGUAGACGAACCUGAGGAGCCUAACGUGGAGUACACGGAAGUGCUGCAUCCGCAAGCUACUGACCCCACACGAGGUAAACCACAUUUUUUAUUUAUUAAUAAUUCUGCCAGGGAAGGUCAAAAUUAUUUGACAUAUGCAUUAGCUAUGAAGCAGAAAGUUUUUGUCAUCCAAAUCUCACCAACAAAUUCGAAAGUCAAACACACAACAUGGAAAAAUUACUUAAAUGUGAAAGAACAUCGGAACAUCACUGUCAGAAUUAUUCUUAUUCUUAUUAUUGUUACUGAUUUAGUAAACUGUAUAUGAACAGAUGUACUCAUAAAUCUUUUUUACAGGAGCCUUUACACAAGAAAUUUGUGAAAAAUCCAGUUAGAUCGGGAAAAACGUUUGUGUCCUACAGUUCACUCUUAAGUUGCUAAUUGUCUUUUAUGUACAGACCACACUGGCAGGUUUACACACCAAUUUAAUGAACGUUUUGUCAAAAUCAAGUCUCUUCAUUUUAAUGACUUGAAAGAAAGCGAUUCCGAAACAAAUCCGUAAGUUAAGACAAAUGAAACUAGCUGUUCAAUUAGGGUAAAAGUAAUGGCACAUAAGAGGAUGACGAGUUUUUGGUUAGAAUGUUUCUGAGGUGCUUUUUUCACCUUUUAGUUGCCAUUUUGUCAUUUUCAGCUCACUGUGAGCUUUGCCUUUUAUGGAAUUGUGUGGGCGUGGCUAAAUAUAAAUCGGCUGUGCCUUGAACACUGAUUGGCAUUCAUCAAAAUACCCAUAUGAGUACGAAGAAAAUCAAAAUUUUGUAAGUAAAAAUACUAAAAGAUUGAUACAUGAUGUCCAUUAUACUAUGCAGUGCAUUUAGGUGUAAUUACAUAAUAACGUGUAGCUGCUGAUGUUCUCUUAGCAGCAUUAAUAGCAGUGUAUCUCUUGUCUGAUUUAUUGCAGCUGCCGGGAGUUUUAAUCUCAUAAUAUGCGAAACUUUGUUCAAAAUGUUUGUGUUUCUUUCAGUAGUGUUAUUAAAAAUGAGUUACUCAUCAUUGUGAUGAUGAAAUGAAUUCUCUUGGUGUCAUUGGUUCUUCAGUUCAAGCCCAGAAGCAUUUUGUUACUGAGUGGAACUAUUUUUUCCAGCUGUGAGGAAAAUUCCCAAAACCAGCUCGAGUGCCAUUUCCACUCACAUCUCUUUUUUUCUCUCUUCUCCAUUCUUCAUUGCUACCCACCAUCUUUCCUCUCUGUCUAGUUUUCAUGUACUUCAGAUGAAAUACAGAUAUUUGCCUCCUUCUCUUUCUCUAAACCCUUUGAACGUUUAGUCAUCCCGCUCUCGAUCUCUGAUAAGACUAAAUCCGCUUCCUGCGAGGUCCUGGAUGCUCUUAUACUCUCAUUUUAUAAAGGGUUUGGUCUUUUUUUUUUUUUUUUUUUAUAAUAGUGCCAUCUUUCAUUGUAUAAACAGGAAGGGCUGAGCUAAUUACCUCAGAAGAUUCCUCAUUCCCUAAGUGCCUGCGGCUUUCAUCUAGGAAAUCUGACCGGUUUUUACCAGUUAUGUUUCGAUGUUUUGAGAUUACAGGCCAAUUUCUUUCUGUAUGUUUAACUCAGUCGUCACCCAGCAAUGCAUCAUACAGACAUUUUAUUUUUAUGCUCCAAAAAUCUAAAAACCUCUCCAGGUUUCGGCAGCAAAAAAACUCCAGAACAUUUUCCAGUUCCAUUGAGGCAAGGCACGGAUACGGUAUACAGUGAGGUUCAGAGGCCUACAUCAGGUAAAAAAUAAUAAUAAAGCAGUAUGAUUAUAAAAAGUUUUGCCUUCUAGAAUAUUUCUCUGGAACAUAGCUAAUGCUUCAGCACAUGUCUACACAGCUGCCUAAGGGCAGAUUUUAGUAAUAAUUAGUCAUAAAAGAAGUGGAAAAAACAAAUAUAAUUGGAUAUUUGGAUUUCUGAGCCAAAAUUUCACUGAACCUCGCAGGACCGGAUUGAAAUAAUCCAGCUUGCGCCUCUGUUUCAGUUGUCCACUUCCUGUCUCUGUUCUCUGGAAUGUCCUGUUUGCUAUGCGUUUGACAAAUUUCAGCACAUUGUCUUUCUUUUCAAUGAAGCAGGCCAAACUCAACAAUUAAUGUUAUCCCUGAGUUUUACUCAAAGGAAAGGAGGCGUUUUUGCCUGGACAGCAACUAUUUUUAAUAUUUUUAAAGCUCUUAUUUAUUUAUUUAUUUGUUUAUUUAUUUAUUUAUGCCAAUUAUACUAAUUGUUGACAUUAGAUUAGAUUUUUCUUAUUCGGUCUGUGUUAUUAAGCACGCUGUACUGUGAAGCUCUUUGUACGAAUUAGCUUAUGAGUAGCUUUGUAAAUACAAUAAUGUUAAUAAACACUAUUUUAUUGAAUUGUCCUAAUGUACACAAUUGUUUAAAUAUAAUAUGUUAGGUGUCAAGUUCAUGUCAAAUGUAUGGGAAAUCAAUAUCCAAAAAAAAAAAAAAAAAAAAAAAUUGGAUUGCUGGAAAGGAACUGUAAAGAAAAAAUAUUUAAAUAUGUUUUUUUGGUAUUUAAUAUUUCUUUUAAAAUAAGCAAAAUGAUUAAUUUAAAAAAUAUAUCAUUUGUAGUUUAAUCAAUUAUCAGAAUCAUUAUUAACUGUACUCAGUUUAAACUUAAGACACCUCAGGGCUGUAUUCAUGGACCUUUGUUAUUUUUCUUAAUUGAAGAAUUAAAGAAUGGCAUGUUGUAUGUUUUAUCCAUUUAUAGUUACACCGAAUGUUGUAGAACAUCAUACGUUAUAGCAGCUAUAAACAGUACCAUGGUUCUCCCUCUGCCCCUCUGCCUCCCAACCUUUAGCAGGGGGAGAAUAAAGGGAAGAGAUAGAAGGAGGGGAAAAAAUGCUCAUAUCUCAGUUGAGUGUAAUAGGAAGGGUGUAUUUCCUUGAUGUGUAUUUCACGGAAACGACUCAUUAAAUACAGAGUGAGUCAAAUGUCGUACACUGAUACAGCGACUGUUAGUGGGAUAAUGAUGAAAAUAUGC
ensembl:lncRNA